rnacentral:rRNA from 1 species
GACGAACGCUGGCGGCGUGCUUAACACAUGCAAGUCGAACGGUAAGGCCCUUCGGGGUACACGAGUGGCGAACGGGUGAGUAACACGUGGGUGAUCUGCCCUGCACUUCGGGAUAAGCCUGGGAAACUGGGUCUAAUACCGGAUAGGACUCCGGACUGCAUGGUCUGGGGUGGAAAGCUUUUGCGGUGUGGGAUGGGCCCGCGGCCUAUCAGCUUGUUGGUGGGGUGAUGGCCUACCAAGGCGACGACGGGUAGCCGGCCUGAGAGGGUGACCGGCAACACUGGGACUGAGAUACGGCCCAGACUCCUACGGGGGGCAGCAGUGGGGAAUAUUGCACGAUGGGCGCAAGCCUGAUGCAGCGACGCCGCGUGAGGGAUGACGGCCUUCGGGUUGUAAACCUCUUUCAGCAUCGACGAAGCGAAAGUGACGGUAGGUGCAGAAGAAGGACCGGCCAACUACGUGCCAGCCGCCGCGGUAA